AAAGAUGGAUUCUGUCUGACUUUCUUGGGUUAGUGUUAGAUAGGGACACUACUAUUUCUUAACAAUGAGAUGAGGCAAUCUAUGAAGUAAAGUAAAAAAAACGAAACUUAACCCUCUUUUUUAUUUUUUUUCUGUCAGACCAAUCACUUCUUUAAAAGAUUUUAGACUAGACUUUUUUUCGAUUUUUUUUUUUUUUUCAUAUUUCCACUUCAAAUAUAAAAAGAAAAUAUAUCGAUUUUUUUUAUAGAAUUGUGAUUAGAAUAUGAAUAUAAAUGUAAAAUAAAAAAAUGAUAUAGAAUGCUAUAGAAAAAAAUCAAAAAUCUUAUAAGCUAGUCAUACCAUUUGAUUAUAUUGACAAUUUUAAAAAACUGAUCAUACUAUGAUCAUAGUAUGAUGGCGGUUGAGCAAGUAUGCCCCCAUCGUCUAGUGGUUCAGGACAUCUCUCUUUCAAGGAGGCAGCGGGGAUUCGACUUCCCCUGGGGGUAGGGUACUACGAAAGGAAGUUGAUUAUGGAUUAUCCAUAAAGUUCGAAUAGAGUCUUCCUGGGUCGAUGCCCGAGCGGUUAAUGGGGACGGACUGUAAAUUCGUUGGCAAUAUGUCUACGCUGGUUCAAAUCCAGCUCGGCCCAAUAAUUCGCUGUCUACAUAACCUUUUUUGUUUUGCAUAAUUGACAGAGAAGGGUAAGAAAAAAGUCAAAUAUCUGGGUAUAUUUCGACUUUACUUUUUUCUUUAUUUCUUGUGGCUCGUUACUUUUUGUUUCCAUAAAAAAUGACAAUAAAAAAUAGAUUAUCAAUCGAUUUUAGAAUAAUGCAAGGAUUACUAGUAAUCGGCCUUGAUAUCACUUUAGUGAUAUCCAUAUAGAUAUCAAUAUAUUACUUGUGAUUUUCUUUGUUACAAAACACUAAUUUGAAUCUAAAAUUGAAAUGAUUCAAAUGAAAUCAUAAGAAGGAAUAUGUAAGCUACCCGCUUUAUUUCCAUGGGAUUGUAGUUCAAUUGGUCAGAGCACCGCCCUGUCAAGGCGGAAGCUGCGGGUUCGAGCCCCGUCAGUCCCGGCGGAUUCAAUUAAAAAAAAAAGACAUAAACUCCCCUUUUUGUUUCUGGGCAAGGGGAUCAAAAUGGUUUCGGUUAUCUUUUUGUUUUAUUUUUAUUUUUUCAUCAAGCAAAAGAAAGGGGUAUUUCUGUAGCACCAAUUUAAAGACAUAUGUAAAUUAGUAUAAUUAUAAUUAUUGAGAGCAUUCACCACUUCAAGAACGAGAUACUGUAUGGGGUUUCCUCUUUUUGUCAAUUAAUCUCCCAUUAACUCGUGUAGGAAAAUCAAAUAGGAUAGCGUAUAAUACGUUUGCCAAGAGUACCUAUAUAUACUUUUGUUUCUAUGAAGUCAAGGAAGUGAAAAUAGUUCGAAUCCAACCAAGUAAAGAGGAUGUUUCAAAAAAAAAGAUCAAAUUAGUCUUCCCUAAUGAAUAUGCUCUUUUUAAAGAUUAGAGUCGAUGUCGAAGAAAAACUCGUAAGAAAAUUUAAUAUAGUUAAUUUUUUGGAAUAUUUUAGUUUUUUUUUAUCGGGACUCGUCUUUAUCACAUUUCCUUUGUUUUACAAAAAGAUCAUAGACCCUUACAAAAACAAAAUUUUGAAAAUUUCAAUUUGAAAUUUCGUACUUGUUUUCUCUAUUUGAUUUCUAUUGUUUAUUUAAGGUUCUUUAGAAACUCUUUUUAUAAACAAUCGAAGUAGAAAAGGUUUUUUAUGAUAUUUCAUCAGAUGAUUGUACAAGGAAAGUACUAGGUUGUAGAAAAGAAAGCGGUGAAAAAGAAUCAUAAAUAAAUAGUUUUUUAUUGGAUCAGGAAUCUCAUUAUGUAUUUGGUGUGGAUAAAAGAUCUUCCUAUGUUAUACUAUUAAAUUCUUGACGAUGAAUCGAUUUUAUAGCUCCGAUAUUGUUAUUCAUGAUAUUUCUUUCAUUCGAUAUCAUCGAAAUCUAAUUCAUCUGAGUGAGUUUACAAGCGAAAGAUUUCUCAUCUCUAUGGGAUUAAAUCCCGAGAUAUUCCAAAGAAAAAAAAAUAAAUAAUAAACGAUUUAAUUAUGGAAGUCAAUAUUCUUGCAUUUAUUGCUACUGCACUCUUCAUUCUCGUUCCUACUGCUUUUUUGCUUAUAAUUUACGUAAAAACGGUUAGUCAAAAUAAUUAAUUUGAAUACAAUUUGACUAUCAAUGACAAAAAAGGAUGUCAAUUUCUCGUCUUAAAUGAAAGGAAUGCAUUAGAUUCAGUAGUAUCCUAAGGGGCCCGCUAGUAUGGUAGAAAGAGAUCUCUUUCUACCAUACUAGCCAUUAUGGUUAUUGUAAUGUAUAAAGAUACAAGUGAAAUAUUUUAAUAUAAAGGAAUCCACCCAUAUCUCUCUUUUUCUUUAUAAAUGUAAAUAUAAAUUAAUAUAGAAUAUGAAAUCUAUGUACAUACUUUCUCAAUUUCAUUUGUUUGUUUGAUCCAUUUAAUACGGAUAAUCCGAAUUCGAUGGAAACCUCUUGAGAUUUCGAAAGGGGGUUAUCCCAUGAAUGGUUAACGGUAUAAACUCUGAUAUCAAAAAAAAAAAUGAGUCAAUAAAACAAAACAUAAAUCCAAUUUCUAAAAAAAGAUCUUAAAAAAAAUUGCCGGCCGGUCUAGAAAACUAAAACAAUUGAUACAGGUUGAUAGAGUUUGAUUAUUAUCGCAAUUAGGAGUACUUCUAGAGUCCACUUCUUCCCCACACUACGAGAGAGAGGGAAAAUGUAAAAACUACCAUUAAACCAGCCCAUGCGAGACUUACUAUAUCCAUGUGAAUUCUGUCCCCUAUGAAUAUGAAGAAACUUUUCCAUUAUUGUUCACUAAUAAUAGUGAAAUCACUGGUGCAGAGUCAAAAAAAGGGAGAGAUAUUUGGUCACCAUUGAUGAACUACUCCAAAAAAUCCACUUAUCUUAUAAUGAGUUAUUCUUAAUUAUAGAAUUUCUAGUAGAAUCGACAAGAUGUAAACACAAGUAAACAGAUACUUUUCGAAGUAUCCAAAAAAUCUGACUCAUAUGUAGAAAGAAUAAUCUUUUUUCUUUCUUUUAUCGUUUUUUAUUUUUAUUUGAAGUAAAACGAAAGGCAAUUCUUCAUCUAAUCUAAUAUUGAUUGAAUGUCUGAGCAUUCCGACACUUUCAUGAGUCUAUAUCCACUUUCAUGAGUCUAUAUCCACUUUCAUGAGUCUAUAUCCAAAGUAUCUUAGAUCCUUUCCAAAACUAUUAAUUUAAUUCCCUCUCUGCCUAUCCAAUCUAAUGGAUUUCCCUCCACUCGUUUUAGUUUUCCUCUAAUCUGAUAGGUAAAACUUUAGGUUAGAGAAUAGAACCUCGAGAGCCAGGGGCUUAGAAUCACGAAAAGAAAGUAUCAAGAGUCUUUUCCUACGUUUGUUAUAGUUUUAUAACAGGAGAUUUCAAGUCUCCUGUUGAGGCGGCACCCGGAUUUGAACUGGGGAAAAAGGAUUUGCAGUCCCCCGCCUUACCACUCGGCCAUGCCGCCAAAAUGAUUUGUACUAGAUUCAAAUUUUCUCUUGUUUUUUUUUUCAACUCCGAAAAAAAUAUAGAUUUUCAGUCACAAAAUAUAGAAUCUAGUACAAAUCAGAACCAUUAACUAUUGACUGUAAAUUCAUGACCUUUUUUGAAUUCAAAUUUACAUUUUUUAUUUCUAAUAAUAUAAGAUAAGAAAAUCAUUAGAAAUAGAUUUAUAACUAAUCUAUAUUGAGUUUUUUCAAUUAAAAAGAAAUCUUCUUCCAUUUGAAUUAUAACACUAAUAAUGAGUAUAUGUAAACCCCAGAAUCAGAACAUACGUUACCUUGUAUAGCUCUAUAAUGGGGUAUUUUAUCUCUCUAGGGAUGCUUUUGAGGAGUAAUUCUCAAUAAAUUUUUGUAUUGAAAUUUUUCAUUGAAUACAUUGAAAAAAAAUUUUUAAUUUUUGGUAGAGCACAGCAUGUGCUGUUCCAAAUAGAACUGUACCACAAUAAAAGAAGAAAAAGAGACAUAUAUAUAUACCUGUGCAUUCUUUUUUAUUUUAAUAAUAAUAAAAAUUAAUAAAUAAAAAAACAUACGUUUUCUUACCUACUUCAAUUCAAUGAUAUUCUAAAUAUUCUAUUCAAAAUAGGUAAAAAUCCAUCUUUUUUCUGCAACUAUUUUUUUGAACAAUGAAAUACAAAUACAUGAAAAAGUAAAGUGUUUAAAAAAAAGUUUUCUAUUUCUUAUAUGUUUAUCUGCUCGAACAGAUCCUAUCAUGAAUACCGUUUUUUAUGGUAUGCGAUCGAAUUGGAAUAUGUAAUAUCAUAGGUGAAAAUGAAAUUACUUUUUUUCUAGUCGUUACAAAACUCCAUAAGUUCCAGCGGUAUUUCUAAAUUCUGUUCCAUUUGGAUCUCUUUCUUAUAAAAAAAAUUCCAAUUGAAUCUAGUCUCCGUUCAUACGGAUUUCAUACAUUCCAUAUAUCUUGGAGUUGGAUAAAAUUUCAUGUGAUUCAGUAAACAGAAUAGAAAUUCCAUUAUUGCUAGAUCGAAUUCUAUCUAUAUGAUUCGGUGAAGAAUGAGAUAUGGGAUUUUUAAAAUAAACGGAUAAAUGAUAAAUUCAAAAAAGAUGCUCGGGGAUGGAAAAGAGGGAACAUCUACAAUACCCGGAUUUAAUCAGAUACAAUUUGAAGGGUUUUAUCGGUUUAUUGAUCAGGGUUUAAUAGAAGAACUUUCGCAAUUUCCAAAAAUUGAAGAUAUAGAUCACGAAAUUGAAUUUCAAUUAUUUGUGGAAACAUAUCAAUUGGUAGAACCUCUGAUAAAAGAACGAGAUGCUGUCUAUGAAUUACUUACAUAUUCUUCUGAAUUAUAUGUAUCCGCGGGAUUAAUUUGGAAAACCAAUAGGAAUAUGCAAGAACAAAGAAUUUUUAUUGGAAACAUUCCUUUAAUGAAUUCCCUUGGAACUUCUAUAGUAAACGGAAUAUACCGAGUUGUGAUCAAUCAAAUAUUACAAAGUCCUGGUAUCUAUUACCAGUCAGAAUUGGAUCAUAACGGGAUUUCGGUCUAUACCGGCACCAUAAUAUCAGAUUGGGGGGGCAGGCUAGAAUUAGAGAUUGAUAAAAAAGCAAGAAUAUGGGCUCGUGUGAGUAGGAAACAGAAAAUAUCUAUUCUAGUUCUAUCAUCAGCUAUGGGUUCGAAUCUAAGAGAAAUUCUAGAGAAUGUUUGCUACCCUGAAAUUUUCUUAUCUUUCUUAACCGAUAAGGAGAAAAAAAAAAUUGGGUCAAAAGAAAAUGCUAUUUUGGAGUUUUAUCAACAAUUUUCUUGUGUAGGUGGGGAUCCAAUAUUUUCUGAAUCCUUAUGUAAGGAAUUACAAAAAAAAUUCUUUCACCAAAGGUGUGAAUUGGGGAGGAUUGGUCGCCGAAAUAUUAACUGGAGACUGAAUCUUAAUAUACCUCAGAACAAUAUAUUUUUGUUACCACGAGAUAUAUUAGCAGCUGCCGAUCAUUUGAUUGGGAUGAAAUUUGGAAUGGGUACACUUGAUGAUAUGAAUCAUUUGAAAAAUAAACGUAUUCGCUCUGUAGCGGAUCUUUUACAAGACCAGCUCGGGUUGGCUCUGGCUCGUUUAGAAAAUGUAGUUAAGGGAACUAUAGGCGGAGCAAUUAGGCAUAAAUUGAUACCGACUCCUCAGAAUUUGGUAACUUCAACUCCGUUAACAACUACUUAUGAAUCCUUUUUCGGAUUACAUCCAUUAUCUCAAGUUUUGGAUCGCACUAAUCCAUUGACACAAAUCGUUCAUGGGAGAAAGUUGAGUUAUUUGGGCCCUGGCGGAUUAACAGGGCGAACUGCUAAUUUUCGAAUACGAGAUAUCCAUCCUAGUCACUAUGGGCGUAUUUGCCCCAUUGACACGUCUGAAGGAAUCAAUGUGGGACUUAUUGGAUCUUUAUCAAUUCAUGCCAGGAUUGGUGAUUGGGGGUCGUUAGAAAGUCCGUUUUAUGAACUCGUUGAGAAAUCAAAAAAGGCGCGGAUACGGAUGCUUUUUUUAUCACCAAGUCAAGAUGAAUAUUAUAUGAUAGCGGCAGGAAAUUCUUUGGCUCUUAAUCGGGGCAUUCAAGAAGAACAGGCUGUACCAGCUCGAUACCGCCAAGAAUUUUUGACUAUCGCAUGGGAAGAGGUUCAUCUUCGAAGCAUUUUUCCUUUCCAAUAUUUUUCCAUUGGAGCUUCCCUAAUUCCUUUUAUCGAACAUAAUGAUGCGAAUCGAGCUUUAAUGAGUUCUAAUAUGCAACGUCAAGCAGUUCCACUUUCUCGGUCCGAAAAGUGCAUUGUUGGAACUGGAUUGGAACGCCAAGUGGCUUUAGAUUCGGGGGUUCCCGCUAUAGCCGAACACGAGGGAAAAAUCCUUUAUACUGACACUGAGAAGAUAAUUUUAUCGGGAAAUGAGAAUACUUUAAGUAUUCCAUUAAUUAUGUAUCAACGCUCAAACAAAAAUACUUGUAUGCAUCAAAAACCUCAGGUUCGCCGGGGUAAAUGUAUUAAAAAGGGACAGAUUUUAGCGGAUGGUGCUGCUACAGUUGGUGGGGAACUCGCCUUGGGGAAAAAUAUAUUAGUGGCUUAUAUGCCAUGGGAAGGAUACAAUUUUGAAGAUGCGGUACUCAUUAGUGAGUGUCUAGUAUAUGGUGAUAUUUAUACUUCUUUCCACAUACGGAAAUAUGAAAUUCAGACGCAUGUGACAACCCAAGGUCCUGAAAGGAUCACUAAGGAAAUACCGCAUCUAGAGGGCCGUUUACUCCGAAAUUUAGACAAAAAUGGAAUUGUGAUGCUAGGAUCGUGGGUUGAAACGGGUGAUAUUUUAGUAGGUAAAUUAACGCCUCAGAUGGCGAAAGAAUCCUCGUAUGCUCCGGAAGAUAGAUUAUUACGGGCCAUACUUGGCAUUCAGGUAUCGACUUCAAAAGAAACUUGUUUAAAAUUGCCUAUAGGUGGUAGAGGUCGAGUUAUUGAUGUGAGAUGGGUUCAGAAAAAGGGGGGUUCAAGUUAUAACCCCGAAAUAAUUCGUGUAUAUAUUUCACAGAAACGUGAAAUCAAAGUAGGUGAUAAAGUAGCCGGAAGACAUGGAAAUAAAGGUAUCAUUUCCAAAAUUUUGCCUAGACAGGAUAUGCCUUAUUUGCAAGACGGGAGACCCGUGGAUAUGGUCUUCAACCCAUUAGGAGUACCCUCACGCAUGAAUGUAGGACAGAUAUUUGAAUGCUCGCUUGGAUUAGCGGGAAGUUUGCUAGAUAGACAUUAUCGAAUAGCCCCUUUUGAUGAGAGAUAUGAACAAGAGGCUUCGAGAAAACUCGUAUUUUCUGAAUUAUAUGAAGCUAGUAAGCAAACAGCCAAUCCAUGGGUAUUUGAACCCGAGUAUCCAGGAAAAAGCCGCAUUUUUGAUGGAAGAACGGGAGAUCCUUUUGAACAGCCUGUGAUAAUAGGAAAGCCCUAUAUCUUGAAAUUAAUUCAUCAGGUUGAUGAUAAAAUACACGGACGUUCUAGUGGACAUUAUGCACUUGUUACACAACAACCCCUUAGAGGCCGUUCUAAGCAGGGGGGGCAGCGGGUAGGCGAAAUGGAGGUUUGGGCUCUAGAGGGGUUUGGUGUUGCUCAUAUUUUACAAGAGAUGCUUACUUAUAAAUCUGAUCAUAUUAGAGCUCGCCAAGAAGUACUUGGUACCACUAUCAUUGGAGGAGCAAUACCUAAACCAGAAGAUGCUCCAGAAUCUUUUCGAUUACUUGUUCGAGAACUACGAUCUUUGGCUCUGGAACUGAAUCAUUUCCUUGUAUCUGAGAAGAAUUUCCAGAUUAAUAGGAAGGAAGUUUAAUCGGAAUGAAUCACAAAAUUUCUUAUAUGAUCGAUCGGUAUAAACAUCAACAACUCCGAAUUGGAUUAGUUUCUCCUCAGCAAAUAAGUGCUUGGGCCACUAAAAAAAUACCUAAUGGAGAGAUAGUUGGAGAGGUGACAAAACCCUAUACUUUUCAUUACAAAACCAAUAAACCGGAAAAAGAUGGAUUAUUUUGUGAAAGGAUUUUUGGGCCUAUAAAGAGUGGAAUUUGCGCUUGUGGAAAUUAUCGAGUGAUCGGAGAUGAAAAAGAAGACUCGCAAUUUUGUGAACAAUGUGGAGUUGAAUUUGUUGAUUCUCGGAUACGAAGAUAUCAAAUGGGAUACAUAAAACUGACAUGUCCUGUAACUCAUGUAUGGUAUUUGAAACGUCUUCCUAGUUAUAUUGCGAAUCUUUUAGAUAAACCUCUUAAAGAAUUAGAAGGUCUAGUAUACUGCGAUGUGUGAUUUGAUCGAAAUUUUUAUUUUUAAGAAUGAUAAACUCUCAUCCCCUUCAAUCAAUUUGGGAUGCCCUCGAUCUGACAUGUCUCUUGAAAAGAGUAACAUGAAGCUCAGACUUGUGGGUGUAUUCAAUACUCCCAAAUAACAAGGGCGAUUGGUCUAUGGUCGAUUCAGUAAAAAAAAAGUAACUUCAAAUUGAUAGUCGUACCUCGUGAAAAGAAGACCUUUUUUUUGUCGAAUUAAGCAUUCCCUUAUCUUUCUAAACGAAAAGAAAUUUGGUUUUUUAUAUUGAAGUAAACAAAUAUGUCAUGGUUGGAGAAGUCUAUACAUCGCAUAUAAGCUUUAAGAAUAUUGUGGCAUAACCAUCGAGGUAACGCAGGACCUAAAAGAUCGAAUGGAACAAUACAUAGACAAAUAAAUCCCGUAUGAAUUCUAAGGCAUUCCUUUCACUUAAGGUAAAAAGUAUUCCGGCAUUCGAAGGGAAGUAGACUACUCAAGAAUUUGACAUUUUUUUCUUUUUUCUGUCGUAAUUUUGAAUUCACUAAAGAAUCUAAAUAGAAAUCAAAGAAGAAUUAAUUGAAUCAAUGAAAUGGUGGUUGGUUUGCACUGAGAACUUGAGUAAGGCGUAGAUUCUUUUUGGGUUUUCACUUGAUUUUAUAAAAUACAAUUGGAAAGUGCGACCCCUUUCUUUAUCUUUAUUUGAUAUAACUACUUGAGCCGGAUGAGAGGAAACUUUCAUGUCCGGUUUUGAGGGGGGGAGAUCAUAUAGUGGACCCUAUCCCAAUUUUUCUUUUGCUAGGCCCAUAACGAAAAAACCUACUUUCUUACGAUUACGAGGUUCAUUUGAAUAUGAAAUUCAAUCCUGGAAAUACAGCAUCCCACUUUUUUUUACUACUCAAGGUUUCGAUAUAUUUAGAAAUCGAGAAAUUUCUACUGGGGCGGGUGCUAUCCGAGAACAAUUAGCCGAUUUAGAUUUGCGAAUUAUUAUAGAAAAUUCGUUGGUAGAAUGGAAACAAUUAGGAGAAGAAGGUCCCACGGGGAAUGAAUGGGAAGAUCGAAAAAUUGUAAGAAGAAAAGAUUUUUUAGUUAGACGUAUGGAAUUAGCUAAGCAUUUUAUUCGAACAAAUAUAGAACCGGAAUGGAUGGUUUUAUGUCUCUUACCGGUUCUGCCUCCCGAGUUGAGACCCAUCAUUCAGAUAGAAGGGGGUAAACUGAUGAGUUCAGAUAUUAAUGAACUCUAUAGAAGAGUUAUCUAUCGGAACAAUACUCUUACUGAUCUAUUAACAACAAGUAGAUCUACACCAGGGGAAUUAGUAAUGUGUCAGGAAAAAUUGGUACAAGAAGCCGUGGAUACACUUCUUGAUAAUGGAAUCCGUGGACAACCCAUGAGGGAUGGUCAUAAUAAGGUUUACAAGUCAUUUUCAGAUGUAAUUGAAGGAAAAGAGGGAAGAUUUCGCGAGACUCUGCUUGGCAAACGGGUCGAUUAUUCGGGGCGUUCGGUGAUUGUCGUUGGACCCUCACUUUCAUUACAUCGCUGUGGAUUGCCUCGCGAAAUAGCAAUAGAGCUCUUCCAGACAUUUGUAAUUCGUGGUCUAAUUAGACAACAUCUGGCUUCGAACAUAGGAGUUGCUAAGAGUCAAAUUCGUGAAAAAAAGCCGAUUGUCUGGGAAAUCCUUCAAGAAGUUAUGCAGGGGCAUCCCGUAUUACUGAAUAGAGCACCUACUCUACAUAGAUUAGGCAUACAGUCAUUCCAACCCAUUUUAGUGGAAGGACGCACUAUUUGUUUACAUCCAUUAGUUUGUAAGGGGUUCAAUGCAGACUUUGAUGGGGAUCAAAUGGCUGUUCAUGUGCCUUUAUCUUUAGAAGCUCAAGCAGAGGCUCGUUUACUUAUGUUUUCUCAUAUGAAUCUCUUAUCUCCAGCUAUUGGAGAUCCCAUUUCUGUACCGACUCAAGAUAUGCUGAUUGGACUCUAUGUAUUAACGAGCGGCACUCGUCGAGGUAUUUGUGCAAACAGAUAUAAUCCAUGUAAUCGAAAAAACUAUCAAAAUGAAAGAAUUUACGAAACAAACUAUAAGUAUAUGAAAGAACCCUUUUUUUGCAAUUCCUAUGGUGCAAUUGGAGCUUAUCGGCAGAAAAGAAUCAAUUUAGAUAGUCCUUUGUGGCUUCGGUGGCAAUUAGAUCAACGCGUUAUUGCUUCAAAAGAAGUUCCUAUCGAAGUUCACUAUGAAUCUUUUGGUAACUAUCAUGAGAUUUAUGCACACUAUCUGAUAGUAAGAAGUGUAAAAAAACAAACUUUUUUUAUAUAUAUUCGAACCACAGUUGGUCAUAUUUCUUUUUAUCGAGAAAUCGAGGAAGCUAUACAAGGUUUUUCUCAAGCUUGUUCAUAUGAUACCUAAUAAUAUGGUAUUCAUAAAAAAGAAUUAUAGGACACCCGUGUGAAUUCGGACCUCUCCGAGUCAACUCGGACAUAGUUCCUGACCUAAAAAAUCAAGAUCGAGAAAAGGAAGUUUUGCAAUCAUUGACUCAAACUCAUUGUCGAAUCCCAUUCAGCAGAAUAUGGAGGUACUUAUGGCGGAACGGGCCAAUCUGGUAUUUCACAAUAAAGUGAUAGAUGGAACUGCUAUUAAACGACUUAUUAGCCGAUUAAUAGAUCACUUCGGGAUGGCAUAUACAUCACACAUCCUAGAUCAAGUAAAGACUCUGGGUUUCCAGCAAGCAACUGCUACAUCCAUUUCAUUAGGAAUUGAUGAUCUUUUAACGAUACCUUCUAAGGGCUGGCUUGUCCAAGAUGCUGAACAACAAAGUUUGAUUUUGGAAAAACACCAUCAUUAUGGGAAUGUACAUGCGGUAGAAAAAUUACGCCAAUCUAUUGAGAUAUGGUAUGCUACAAGUGAAUAUUUGCGACAGGAAAUGAAUCCUAAUUUUAGGAUGACGGACCCUUUCAAUCCAGUCCAUAUGAUGUCUUUUUCGGGAGCUAGAGGAAAUGCAUCUCAAGUACAUCAAUUAGUAGGUAUGAGAGGAUUAAUGUCGGAUCCCCAAGGACAAAUGAUUGAUUUACCUAUUCAAAGCAAUUUACGCGAAGGACUGUCUUUAACAGAAUAUAUUAUUUCUUGCUAUGGAGCCCGUAAAGGAGUUGUAGAUACUGCGGUCCGCACAUCAGAUGCUGGAUAUCUUACGCGUCGACUUGUUGAAGUAGUUCAACAUAUUGUUGUACGUCGAACGGAUUGUGGCACUAUCCGAGGGAUUUCUGUGAGUCCUCGAAAUAAAAGUCGGAUGAUGUCAGAAAGAAUUUUUAUCCAAACAUUAAUUGGUCGUGUCUUAGCAGACGAUAUAUAUAUAGGUUCCCGAUGUGUCGCCUUUCGAAAUCAAGAUCUUGGGAUUGGACUUGUCAAUCGAUUCAUAACCUUUGGAACACAAUCAAUAUCUAUUCGAACUCCCUUUACUUGUCGGAGUACAUCUUGGAUCUGUCGAUUAUGUUAUGGCCGGAGUCCCACUCAUGGUGACCUAGUUGAAUUGGGGGAAGCUGUAGGUAUUAUUGCGGGUCAAUCUAUUGGCGAACCGGGGACUCAACUAACAUUAAGAACUUUUCAUACCGGUGGAGUAUUUACAGGAGGUACUGCCGAACAUGUACGAGCCCCUUAUAAUGGAAAAAUCAAAUUUAAUGAGGAUUUGGUUCAUCCUACACGUACACGUCACGGGCAUCCUGCCUUUCUAUGUUAUAUAGACUUGUCUGUAAUUAUUGAGAGCGAAGAUAUUAUACAUAGCGUGACUAUUCCACCAAAAAGUUUUCUUUUAGUUCAAAAUGAUCAAUAUGUGGAAUCAGAACAAGUGAUUGCUGAGAUUCGCGAGGGAACAUCCACUUUUCAUUUUAAAGAGAGGGUUAGAAAAUAUAUUUAUUCUGACUCCGAGGGCGAAAUGCAUUGGAGUACUGAUGUAUCCCAUGCACCCGAAUUUACAUAUAGUAAUGUCCAUCUUUUACCAAAAACAAGUCAUUUAUGGAUAUUAUCAGGAGGUUCUUGUGGAUCUAGUCUAAUUCUUUUUUCGAUCCACAAAGAUCAAGAUCAAAUGAACAUACCCUUUCUUUCCGUCGAAAGAAAAUCUAUUUCUAGCCUCUCAGUGAAUAAUGAUCAAGUGAGCAAAAAAUUUUUCAGUUCAGAUUUUUCUGAUAAAAAAAAAUCUGGGAUUCCCAAUUAUUCAGAAUUGAAUGGAAUCGUAGGUACUAGUCAUUAUAAUUUCAUAUAUUCUGCUAUUUUUCAUGAGAAUUCGGAUUUAUUAGCAAAAAGGCGAAGAAAUAGAUUUCUCAUUCCAUUCCAAUCGAUUCAAGAGCAAGCGAAAGAGUUCAUACCACAUUCAGGUAUCUCGAUUGAAAUACCCAUAAAUGGUAUUUUCCGUAGAAACAGUAUUUUUGCUUUUUUUGAUGAUCCUAGAUACAGAAGAAAGAGUUCCGGAAUUCUUAAAUAUGGAACUCUAAAGGCGGACUCAAUCGUCCAAAAAGAGGAUAUGAUUGAGUAUCGAGGAGUCCAAAAAUUUAAGACAAAAUACGAAAUGAAAGUAGAUCGCUUUUUUUUCAUUCCUGAGGAAGUGCAUAUUUUACCCGAAUCCUCCGCCAUAAUGGUACAGAACUAUAGUAUCAUUGGAGUCGAUACACGAAUCACUUUAAAUAUAAGAAGCCAAGUCGGCGGGUUGAUCCGAGUGGAGAGAAAAAAAAAAAGGAUUGAACUCAAAAUAUUUUCGGGGGAUAUCCAUUUUCCGGACAAGACAGAUAAGAUAUCCCGACAUAGUGGCAUCUUGAUACCGCCAGGAAGGGGAAAAACAAACUCUAAAGAAUCAAAAAAUUUAAAAAAUUGGAUUUAUGCCCAACGGAUCACACCAACCAAGAAAAAGUUUUUUGUUUUGGUGCGGCCCGUAGCCACCUAUGAGAUAAUGGACAGUAUAAAUUUAGCAACACUCUUCCCACAAGAUCUCUUUCGGGAAAAGGAUAAUAUUCAACUUCGAGUUUUCAACUAUAUCCUUUAUGGAAAUGGUAAACCAACUCGAGGAAUUUCUGACACAAGUAUUCAAUUGGUUCGCACUUGUUUAGUCUUGAAUUGGGACCAAGACAACAAAAAUUCUUCCCUCGAGGAGGUCCGCGCUUUCGUUGUUGAAGUAAGUACAAAGGGUUUGAUUCGAGAUUUCAUAAGAAUUGGCUUAGUGAAAUCCCAUAUUUCGUAUAUAAGAAAAAGGAAUAAUCCGCCGGAUUCGGGAUUGAUCUCUGCAGAUUCCGUGAAUCCGUUUUAUUCGCUUUCUCCCAAGGCUGGCAUUCUUCAACAAUCGCUUAGACAAAAUCACGGAACUAUUCGUAUGUUCAGAAAUAAGGAAUCCCAAUCUUUGUUAAUUUUAUCAUCCUCUAAUUGUUUUAGAAUCGGUCCAUUUAAUCAUGUAAAAUAUCACAAUGUUAUAAACCAAUCAAUAAAAAAAAAACCUCUAAUUACAAUUCAAAAUUCGUCGGGCCCCUUAGGAACAGCCAUUCAAAUUUCGAAUUUUUAUUCAUUUUUGCCUUUACUAACUUAUAAUCAGAUCUCUGUAAUUAAAUAUUUGCAACUUGAUAACUUCAAAUAUAUUUUUCAAAUAAUUCACUCUUAUUUAAUAGAUGAAAACGGAAGAAUUUUUAAUCUAGAUCCAUACAGUAACCUUGUUUUGAAUCCAUUCAAAUUGAAUUGGUAUUUUCUUCAUCAAAAUUAUAAUAAUUAUUAUUGUGAGGAAACGUCCACAAUAAUAAGUCUUGGACAAUUUUUUUGUGAAAAUCUAUGUAUAGCCAAAAAAGAACCAUACCUAAAAUCGGGUCAAGUUUUAAUUGUUCAAAGGGAUUCUGUAGUAAUAAGAUCCGCUAAGCCCUAUUUGGCUACUCCGGGAGCAAAAGUUCACGGGCAUUAUAGAGAAAUUCUUUACGAAGGGGAUACAUUAGUUACAUUUAUAUAUGAAAAAUCGAGAUCCGGUGAUAUAACCCAAGGUCUUCCAAAAGUAGAACAGGUGUUAGAAGUCCGCUCGAUUGAUUCAAUAUCACUGAACUUAGAAAAGCGGAUUAAGGGUUGGAACAGGUGUAUAACAAGAAUUCUUGGAAUUCCUUGGGGAUUCUUGAUUGGUGCUGAGCUAACUAUAGUGCAAAGUCGUAUUUCUUUGGUUAAUAAGAUUCAAAAGGUUUAUCGAUCCCAGGGGGUGCAGAUUCAUAAUAGGCAUAUCGAAAUUAUUGUACGUCAAAUAACAUCAAAAGUUUUGGUUUCAGAAGAGGGAAUGUCUAAUGUUUUUUUACCUGGAGAAUUGAUUGGAUUGUUACGAGCAGAACGCACGGGGCGUGCUUUAGAAGAAGCAAUCUGUUAUCGAGCCGUUUUAUUAGGAAUAACUCGAGCAUCUUUGAAUACUCAAAGUUUUAUAUCCGAAGCAAGUUUUCAAGAAACUGCUAGAGUUUUAGCAAAAGCUGCUCUUCGGGGUCGUAUCGAUUGGUUGAAAGGCCUGAAAGAAAAUGUUGUUCUAGGGGGUGUGAUCCCCGCCGGGACCGGGUUCAACAAAGGAUUGGUGCAUUGUUCACGGCAACAUACCAAUAUUCUUUUUGAAAAAAAAACAAAGAAUUUAUCUUUAUUAGAGGGAGAUAUGAGAGAUAUUUUAUUUUAUCACAGGGAAUUUUGUGACUCUUCUAUUUACAAAUCUGCCUUUUCUAGAAUUGAAUAAUUCCUAAUAGCAGAUUCCUGUUUUGAAUUUCAUGUUUUAUUGUUUGCUGUAGUCAUUUGCUUUAAUAAUUUGUUAACACUAAUAAAGAUAAUAAUGAAUACAAAAUAAUGGCUCGGCUCGUGCAUAAACGGACAAGAGAAGGUUCCAUUGGAACAAAUUUUUAUUUUAGUUUUGGGUACCCCCCUUUUAAGUGUGAAAAGAAAUGACAAAAAGAUAUUGGAACAUCGAUUUGGAAGAGAUGAUGAGAGCAGGAGUUCAUUUUGGGCAUGGUACUAGGAAAUGGAAUCCUAGAAUGGCACCUUAUAUUUCUGCAAAGCGUAAAGGUAUUCAUAUUAUAAAUCUGACUAGAACUGCUCGUUUUUUAUCAGAAGCUUGUGAUUUAGUUUUUGAUGCAGCAAGUAGGGGAAAACAAUUCUUAAUUGUUGGGACAAAAAAUAAAGCAGCUGAUUUAGUGUCGCGGGCUGCAAUAAGGGCUCGGUGUCAUUAUGUUAAUAAAAAGUGGCUCGGCGGCAUGUUAACAAAUUGGUCUACUACAGAAAAAAGACUUCAUAAGUUUAGGGACUUGAGAACUGAACAAAAGACAGAGGGAUUCAACCGUCUUCCGAAAAGGGAUGCAGCUGUGUUGAAGAGACAAUUAUCUCGCUUGGAAACAUAUCUAGGCGGGAUUAAAUAUAUGACGGGAUUGCCUGAUAUUGUAAUCAUCAUCGAUCAGCAAGAAGAAUAUACGGCUCUUCGAGAAUGUAUAACUUUGGGAAUUCCAACCAUUUCUUUAAUCGAUACAAAUUGUAAUCCCGAUCUCGCGGAUAUUUCUAUUCCAGCAAAUGAUGACGCUAUAGCUUCAAUUCGAUUCAUUCUUAACAAAUUAGUAUUCGCAAUUUGUGAGGGUCGUUCUAGCUAUAUACAAAAUUCUUGAUUAAUAAUAAGAUAAAUAAAUCAAUUUUUUUUGAGGGAGGGGCUCCCUGUAUUUCGAUUUAUAAAAUCGGUUACUAUUCCUGAAUCAUACAAAAGAAAAAGAGAUAAAAAACUGGGUAUAUUGUGUGAUUCGUUUAGUUGGUAUCCAAAACUAAAAUAGAAAAUUCAAGUAAAUAAGUAAAAAAAAAGGGGGGGUCUUGAAUCAAAAUAAUUUAAAGUUCUUAUUUCUGUCAGAGGGCAAUAUGAAUGUUUUAUCAUGUUCCAUCAAUACACUAAUAAAAGAAGGGUUAUAUGAGAUAUCUGGUGUAGAAGUAGGCCAACAUUUCUAUUGGCAAAUAGGGGGGUUCCAAGUCCAUGCGCAAGUCCUUAUUACUUCUUGGGUUGUAAUUGCUAUCUUAUUAGGUUCCGCAGCUCUAGCGGUUCGCAAUCCACAAACCAUUCCAACUGGCGGCCAAAACUUCUUUGAAUUUGUCCUUGAAUUCAUUCGAGAUGUGAGUCAAACCCAGAUUGGAGAAGAAUACGGUCCAUGGGUUCCCUUUAUUGGAACCCUGUUUUUAUUUAUUUUUGUUUCUAACUGGUCAGGAGCCCUUUUACCGUGGAAAAUUAUCCAGUUACCUCAAGGGGAGUUAGCAGCACCAACGAAUGAUAUAAAUACGACGGUUGCUUUAGCUUUACUCACAUCAGUAGCAUAUUUUUAUGCGGGUCUUAGCAAAAAAGGAUUAGGGUAUUUCAGUAAAUACAUUCAACCAACUCCAAUUCUUUUACCCAUUAACAUCUUAGAAGAUUUUACAAAACCCCUAUCACUGAGUUUUCGACUUUUCGGAAAUAUAUUAGCCGAUGAAUUAGUAGUUGUUGUUCUUGUUUCUUUAGUACCUUUAGUGGUUCCUAUACCUGUCAUGUUCCUUGGAUUAUUUACAAGCGGGAUUCAAGCUCUCAUUUUUGCCACUUUAGCUGCGGCUUAUAUAGGUGAAUCUAUGGAGGGUCAUCAUUAACUAUUUUUUUUUUCAAAUUUAGGUUAGCCCAAUUAUCGAAUAGUUGGUUUACGUUAUGUAAGAAACACUUGUAUAUGUCAUAUUUGAUAUUGACUAGGUAUAUAUAAGUUAAAGAUCUAUAUAAUCUGCCCCACUAUUUUUGUGAAUUUCUAUUUAGAUAACGAUUCGAUUAUAAGUUCUUACUUUUUAUCUGUUAAUUGGCUGAAAAAAACGAUCAAAAAAAGAACGAAGAAUUAAAAGAAAAGAAUGGUUCACAAAAAAGAAACGGCAUAAAAAAGUCGUAUAUAUAUAUAUUAUGCAUUUUUCAAAAUCCCGUGGAUAGGAACUAAUAUCAAAGUAAUUCUUAUCAAGUUUUUGGUUAUUUUGGCUGGAUGAAUCUUAGCGAUGACUUAAUUAUAAUUAAGUCCUAAGUCGUUGGAUGAUUGUAUCAUUAACUAUUUCUUUAUUUUGGUGUGAGGAACUUAUCAUGAAUCCACUGGUUUCUGCUGCUUCGGUUAUUGCUGCUGGGUUGGCUGUUGGGCUUGCUUCUAUUGGACCUGGGGUUGGUCAAGGUACAGCUGCGGGUCAAGCUGUCGAAGGUAUCGCGAGACAACCUGAGGCAGAAGG
rnacentral:lncRNA from 1 species